CCUACGGGCGGCAGCAGUGAGGAAUAUUGGUCAAUGGGCGCGAGCCUGAACCAGCCAAGUAGCGUGAAGGAUGACUGCCCUACGGGUUGUAAACUUCUUUUAUAAAGGAAUAAAGUGAGGCACGUGUGCCUUUUUGUAUGUACCAUCAGAAAAAGGACCGGCUAAUUCCGUGCCAGCAGCCGCGGUAAUACGGAAGGUCCGGGCGUUAUCCGGAUUUAUUGGGUUUAAAGGGAGCGUAGGCCGGCUUUUAAGUCAGCUGUGAAAGUCCGCGGCUCAACCGUGGAAUUGCAGUUGAAACUGGAGGCAUUGAGUGCACACAGGGAUGCCGGAAUUCAUGGUGUAGCGGUGAAAUGCUUAGAUAUCAUGAAGAACUCCGAUCGCGAAGGCAAGUGUCCGGGGUGCAACUGACGCUGAGGCUCGAAAGUGCGGGUAUCAAACAGGAUUAGAUACCCUUGUAGUC
rnacentral:rRNA from 1 species